CUUGCUUUUACUCUUGGAUCCCUUGAACCACAGGGUUUGUUCUAGCAGGGGAAUUUGUGCAGCUUUGUGACAGAGGAGAACUUCCCAGGCUAUUCUGUGCUUGCUGUAGGGAAGGUUGGGUUGCUUUGCAUAAAUUUGCAUAAAUUCCAAGGCAGAACGCUUGCUUUGGGAUGUCAGGGCAUGGUUGCCACAUUGUUGUGGUGACAUCAGAAGAUUGCCUUGGUGCACGGAAGGCUGUAGAAGAAUGGCUAGAGAGCAAAGGUCAUGUUCCCAUGCAGCAGUUAGCUGGGAAAGAAUUAGACAAUAGAGUACAGUCAGUGUGAGAUGUUGCAAAGUCAGGAAGACCUCAGUGAUAACUGUUAACUGAGAACAGGACGCUGUGAUCAGAAGAAUGUGAAUUCAGCAUAGAUGAGCGAUCACAGGAAUGUAGAACUAGGUGGAGUUGACCUUAAAUGAAAUAUCCAAUAAUGAGCUUCCUUUUGCACUAUGUAUGAGCCUGAUUAUUGAUAGUAUAUAAGUGGUUUUAGCGUUACCAAUAAAUGAGACUUGCUGAUUAUUCAUAUUGAGUUCUGCAUUUCUCCCGCCGAACUCGACAAAUGGCGCCCGAACAGCAGGGACCUUUGGGACAUUUGGGACUUCUGGGACCCGAGGGACCCUUGGAACCUUUGGAACCCUCAGAACCUUUGGAACCCUCAGAACCUUUGGGACCUUAAAAAGGAGUCGGCCAAGGGAGUUGGUGACAGGGGAUGGGUCCUUUGCAGCAAGGACAGAGAAAAGCAACAGCUGUGCUGUGUUCCAGGCGACCUCACAGGAGAGUCCUGGUCAAAAAGCAACGUUGCCACACCCAGACGACCUUAUAGAAGAGUCCUGCCGUAACGUGCUGCCGAAACCUUGUAGGGGCUGCAACAGCGCUGACGGGCCUGUCUGGGUGCCGAGCCGAUGGACUAAACCUGCUGAUCCCAGUGAUUUACCUUCAGCUGAUCCAGAAAAUUUAGCAGAUACUUCUCGCUCUCUACCAU
rnacentral:lncRNA from 1 species